UUCCUGUGCCAGGGGCACCACUUACGUACAAUGCACCUCCAGCAUUAGCAUCAAGAUGUUGACGAAAGAAAGAUUCCACAAUUGACUUCUCAUUUUCACGACCCACGACUCCUGCUGAACGAUAUGAUUUACGUAAACUCAAUUUGGCAGUAGAAUUAUAGGACGGAGUGGAGGGUGUCGAAGGAGUGGGAGGAAAAAGUUGACGGUGAGGUGUCGAUUGCAAAAGGCGAGUAGCAAAUGGAACAGGAUUACAUGUACGAUUUAAUGAUUUGGGUGUAACAAUUUGAAUGGUCCUUUUGGGGGUUUUAGGAGUUUGAGGUGUUGUGGGUAAUUUAGGUUUCUUAUUCUCCUUUAACUGAGCAGGAAAAUUAGGAUAAAGGUCAGUUUUCUCCUCUUGCAGUUCUCCUAGUUCAUAUUUUAUUCUUUUUGUGGGUGUUUGGAAAUGUGAGCUAGCCAGCGUACGUUUUCUGCUGGGUGUAGUCGGAAUCUCUAUUGAAAAGGAAGGUGAAUGCUCCCUUUGAUUAGUUUUGUUAGUACAGUCAAUCAAGGCUGCAGAAUCUAUAAAACGAUUGCAUCUUCGAGGUGUAUGACAACCUAUUGGAGUUUCACACAUAUCGAUACUUUAUAGUAACCCCGUUUACUAAUUAUGUUAUUUACCAAUAGACAAGUCAGGUAAAUUUGAUAAAAGGGCUACUAAGUAAUAUUAACUUCGUGCUUGGUGUUUAAGUUUUGUUUAAGAGCAGAUAUGUCUUUUAUAAAUAUACGCGACGCGACACGUAAACGCGAAAUCUAAUUAAUCACGAAGAGUAAAUGAGAUGUCGCGUUCAACUCUAC